GGAGGGAUGGCCGAGCGGUUGAAGGCGGCGGUCUUGAAAACCGUUAGGCGUGAAAGCGUCUCCUGGGUUCGAAUCCCAGUCCCUCCGCCA
rnacentral:tRNA from 1 species